rfam:Halioglobus sp. HI00S01 HI00S01_c5, whole genome shotgun sequence.
AGAUCCCUGGCGUAUGCGCCAGGCAGACAGUCCUCGAGCCGAUAAAUUUGUAUCCGGGGGCUUCCAGCCACUGUUGGUGUGCAAGUCUGGCAUGACCGGAAAGCCUGAUUCAGUGCGGGGGCCUCCACCUUGAACCAUCGGGUUCAAGGGCAGCGCUGUCAGCGGUACGCCGGGAAUCUC